UGGACAGAGAUGCUACAUGUGCAUUAUCCCUCCCACAAAAAUAUAUACAUUCUCUAUAUCCUUUCAAUUUCGUCUUCUUAAGGUAUUUAAGAAUAUUUGGAACAGAACAACAAAACGUGUAUACUGUCUCUUCUUGAAAACAAAAAAUACAUUUUCUUUCCUCAGAUUCUCUUAAAGGGUCAGUAUUGCUCAAUAACCUAAGCCAUUAUUCAACUGAGCAACCACAUUUACAAACUCAAGUUCCCAAUUUCAACCUUCCAAUGGUCAAUAUUAGGCCCAAAUAUUUUUCUGUAACUAAU